GGACCUUUAGCUCAAUCGGUAGAGCUUUGUACUUAUGAGGUUAACCUAUACAUGCAAGGGUCCCGAGUUCGAUUCUCGGAAGGUCCA
rnacentral:tRNA from 1 species